rnacentral:rRNA from 1 species
CCGCGGGAUUAGAGUUUGAUCCUGGCUCAGAGCGAACGCUGGCGGCAGGCUUAACACAUGCAAGUCGAGCGGGCGUAGCAAUACGUCAGCGGCAGACGGGUGAGUAACGCGUGGGAACGUACCUUUUGGUUCGGAACAACCCAGGGAAACUUGGGCUAAUACCGGAUAAGCCCUUACGGGGAAAGAUUUAUCGCCGAAAGGUCGGCCCGCGUCUGAUUAGCUAGUUGGUGAGGUAAUGGCUCACCAAGGCGACGAUCAGUAGCUGGUCUGAGAGGAUGAUCAGCCACAUUGGGACUGAGACACGGCCCAAACUCCUACGGGAGGCAGCAGUGGGGAAUAUUGGACAAUGGGCGCAAGCCUGAUCCAGCCAUGCCGCGUGAGUGAUGAAGGCCCUAGGGUUGUAAAGCUCUUUUGUGCGGGAAGAUAAUGACGGUACCGCAAGAAUAAGCCCCGGCUAACUUCGUGCCAGCAGCCGCGGUAAUACGAAGGGGGCUAGCGUUGCUCGGAAUCACUGGGCGUAAAGGGUGCGUAGGCGGGUCUUUAAGUCAGGGGUGAAAUCCUGGAGCUCAACUCCAGAACUGCCUUUGAUACUGAAGAUCUUGAGUUCGGGAGAGGUGAGUGGAACUGCGAGUGUAGAGGUGAAAUUCGUAGAUAUUCGCAAGAACACCAGUGGCGAAGGCGGCUCACUGGCCCGAUACUGACGCUGAAGCACGAAAGCGUGGGGAGCAAACAGGAUUAGAUACCCUGGU